rnacentral:lncRNA from 1 species
CCCUACUGUGCGCUGGGCAUUACCAGCCCUGGAGACAAAGGCACAGAGUGGGUGAGGGGCCCAGGUGAGCACACAGGAAAGACAGGUAAACAACUGGUAUCUCUUAAGGGUUCAGUAUGAACAGGCGGUCCCAGGGAGCAGAUAAAAUGCUCACCACUGGGGUAGAGGAAGAAGAUGAGGCAGAAGAGAUGCAGAGACCAUGUCACAAAGAGGUCUGGCACAUCACGGAAGAUGGGUGUGGUCUCCCCAGCGGCAGGAAGCCGGGCUGGUAAAGCAGAAAAGGGUGGCAGUGGCCCGCUCAGAGCCAGUUUGCAGGGAGAGGCUGAGGAAACAAGUGCAGAGCUGGCUUCGCCAUGCCGUCAGAAAUGACUGCGCAGCCCACGAGGGAUAAGAAGGAAGGCAAGGGGCCAUCUGUAAGGGCCAGCUGUGCCAACACGAGAUGGCCCUCCAGCGUGACUGCCUGAAACUCUUCCGAGGCCACGCCCGGGCACAGGCCACGCUGAACCUUGAACCUCUUGCAGGGGUCCAGCCUGUCUCUGGCCCGCACUGAUGCCAUGUCUUCACUGGGCUGGGCCCCAGCUCUGCGACUUAACUUCUCCAAGCACAGCAUCCUCCUCUGUGGAAUGACGACCAAGGAUGAAAGGACCAUUUACCCCAUGAAAUGGAGGGAGAAAGAAAGUGAGACAGCUUGAAGAUGUUUGGCACGGGGCUUGAGACAUUAAGAAGAAAGAAGAAAUGGCAGCUGCUGUCCGUUAUGGCCGCCCCCAAAUGCGGUGAGGUUACUGUGCCCUGCGGUGAUCUGGAACAAACUCCUGCGCAGGGCUCACAACUGAAGAAGAAUACAGAUUAUCUUCUACUUGCAAAGGGCCAAAAGCUCUGGAAAUUCAUACAUCAGGCUAAAGCACAGGCCAUAUAUCAGGGCCUGAGAGCCAGAUGCCACCCUGUGAGGAGGCUGCUGCACAUCUGGCCCAGGAGAGAAGAGCAUCCUGCCAACGUCCAGUGCUUCCUUCUACAAAUGGGAAACGAAUGUGCACAUCUGCCAUCUAUGCCAUAUUUGUUUUGUUUUGUUUUUUUCCGAUACUGGGAAUCGAACUCACGACCUUGUGCUUGCCAGCUGCUGGACGCUGGCACCCCUCUGCUGCCAUAAAAAUAUCAGCACUGCCACCCCAGCUCCUGGAGGAAGUCUCAGUAUGACAGCCUGCAAAGUGAUCCUGCAUCUGAAUUUCAUCGACAAAUCCUGGUUUCCUCCAGACAAGUGCAAACCUGCACAGAUGGCCCCUCACACCAAAAAGUAAAAAUAACAAAGCUUGCAAUCCUGGGCCUCGCUUUUUCUCUGGGCAGAUGUGCCGGCUGCACAUUUUGGGAGGCGCACCGUCUGCAGCCCAGCAGCAGCCUCUCUCCUCCUGUGCAUCCUUACUCCCCUUCUGGCUUGCUGGUGGGUAGCAGCUGUGGCCGUUUAGGGUGUAUUCUUGGAAGCACACAGAGUGCCUGUGCCCUAGAAACGAGGCUGAGGCAUCCAAAAGGAUGCAUUAGUGCUCACCUGACUCCCUAAGACUGGCCGUGUUGUCACCCCCGCAAUACCCAGGGAAGGGGCUGAAAGGCUGCCGAUCAGCCGAAGUGGAAGGCAAGGAGCUGCCGUGCUAUGGGACAGUACAGGCUAAGGGCGGAUGGCAGUGUGGGAAAGGAAGCACUGGGGGAUCCUGACUUUUUGAACCUUACAAACCCCAACAAAGCACAGGAGCUUCCAGGACUCAUGAACUCUUUCCACAAACAUGGGCUGAGAUGCUCCAUUCUACGGCCUGUGGAUUUUGCUACGUAAAAGAAAAACCCAGAAAGCAGAUGUCCAGAGAACACAGUCACAAACCCCUGUGGGCUGGGUGGCUACAGAUUCACUGGCCAGGAGGCCCAGGCAGCAGCAGCCCAAGUCAGAGACAUCACAGGAGAUGCUCGCAGGCCAGUUCCACCUCAGAUGAGCCAUAUGACCUGGAGCCUCCGGUCUCAUUUAGAAAUGAUGGCUACUGUCUCUAGUUAACCAGAGGUUCAGAUGAGAUAAAGUGUAGCUGUAAAUAAAGCACAAUUUAAACUGCUAG